AACGAACGCUGGCGGCAUGCCUAACACAUGCAAGUCGAAUGAGACCUUCGGGUCUAGUGGCGCACGGGUGCGUAACGCGUGGGAACCUGCCCUUAGGUUCGGAAUAACUCCCCGAAAGGGGUGCUAAUACCGGAUAAUGUCUUCGGACCAAAGAUUUAUCGCCUUUGGAUGGGCCCGCGUUGGAUUAGCUAGUUGGUAGGGUAAAAGCCUACCAAGGCGACGAUCCAUAGCUGGUCUGAGAGGAUGAUCAGCCACACUGGGACUGAGACACGGCCCAGACUCCUACGGGAGGCAGCAGUGGGGAAUAUUGGACAAUGGGCGAAAGCCUGAUCCAGCAAUGCCGCGUGAGUGAUGAAGGCCUUAGGGUUGUAAAGCUCUUUUACCCGGGAUGAUAAUGACAGUACCGGGAGAAUAAGCUCCGGCUAACUCCGUG
rnacentral:rRNA from 1 species